ACGGCAACUGACUCUAUCGCUGGCGUAUGCGGCAACGCACUACGCGAGAGGAAAGUCCGGGCAACACGAGCCACCAUACUUCCUAACGGGAAGGCGGCAGAGAGGCAAGCGCUCUGCCGACAGAGAGUGCCACAGAAAGAUAAACCGCCCCUUUCGAGGGGUAAGGGUGCAAGCGCGAGGCAAGAGCUCACGACAGGGGUCAGCAAUGGCUCCUGAUGGUAAACCUUAUGGGUUGAAAGACCAAAUAUACCGGCAGUUAAGGGCUGGCUCGCCCGUUGUCGGGGGGUAGGUUGAUAGAGGCCGGCGGCGACGUCGGCAGUAGAUUGAUGAUAGAGGCUGCCGCCUUUGCGGGCGCAGAACAGAACCCGGCUUAUGAGGUUGCCGUUUUU
rnacentral:RNase_P_RNA from 1 species